rnacentral:rRNA from 1 species
AUGUGUUUGUACUGGGUGCUUGAUGAUCGGUGCUUUAUAUAUAAAGUGGGCGAAACCCCUUUUCGUAAAAGGAGAUCUCCGGUGCCCAUUGUUGAAGUGCCAAAGAAAGAGAUGGAGAGAGUUCGCAGUAACACAAGUAUAGCUAUCCUGGUGAGCCAUUGCUUUCCAUCCAAGAGGAUUGAUGAUAUUGAUCCAUUCCAAACAGAGAGACCUGUGAUUUUCAGCCUAAAAGCGAUUGAAGACGCCACAGUUAAUUUUGAUGAGAAGAGGAAGAUUGGUGGUGGAUAUGGCAUGGUUUACCUAGGUUUCAUAGGAACACAUGAGAUUGCAGUUAAGACGAUGAAAGACAACAAAUCAAAGGAGUUCUUUGCUGAGCUAAAAGUGUUGUGCAAAGUACAUCACAUGAAUAUGAUUGAGUUGAUUGCCUAUGUUGCUGGUGAGGAUCACCUAUACCUUGUUUAUGAGUAUGUUCAGAAUGAAUCACUUAGUGAGCAUCUCCAUGAUCCUUUACUGAAAGGUCAUCAACCUCUCUAAUGGACUGCAAGAACACAGAUAGCAACGGAUGCUGCAUGCGGUAUUGAGUAGAUCCAUGACCACACGAAGGCCUGCUAUGUGCACUGUGACAUCAGAACAAGCAAUAUUCUGCUAGAUGAUGGACUAAGAGCUAAAGUUUCGGAUUUUGGCCUGGUAAAGCUUGUUGAGCACAGUGAUGAAGAAGAUUGCCUCGCAACUCAUUAUGUUGGAAUGCCAAGCUACCUCCGACCGGAGUCAGUUCAUGAGCCUCACAUGACUACAAAGUCUGACGCCUAUGCGUACGGAGUAGUUCUUGCAGAACUGAUUACUGGUCUCAGUGCACCUGUGCGGGUCAAUAAGGAAGCUAAUAAGACAAAGUCACUUAUCUCAAUUAUGAGAAAAGCUUUCAAAUCAGAUGAUGUGGAGAGCUCACUGGAGAAAAUGACAAAUCCCUCCUUGAAGGACAACUACCCCAUAGAAGAAGUGUGUAAGCUGGCAAAUAUUUCGAUGUGGUGCUUGAGUGAGGAUACAUUAGACAACCCGAGAUGA